GGAGGAAAGGCUCAGUGGUAGAGCGCCUGCUUUACAUGUAGAAGGUAUCAGGUGGUAACAGGUCCAAUUCCUGGCAUCUCCA